rnacentral:rRNA from 1 species
GACGAACGCUGACGGCGUGCUUAACACAUGCAAGUCGAAGGGAGUGGCGAACGGGUGAGUAACACGUGAGUAACCUGCCCUUUUCUUUUGGAUAAGCCUGGGGACCUGGGUCUCAUACUGGAUGGAUUGGGUUGGGCUCGCGGCUUAUCAGCUUGUUGGUGGGGUGAUGGCUUACCAAGGCUUUGACGGGUAGCCGGCCUGAGAGGGUGGUGGGUCACACUGGGACUGAGAUACGGCCCAGACUCCGACGGGAGGCAGCAGUGGGGAAUAUUGCACAAUGGGCGCAAGCCUGAUGCAGCCAGGCCGCGUGUAUGAAGAAGGCCUUCGGGGUGUAAAGUACUUUCAGCGGGGAGGCGUUACCCGAAGAAGAAGCACCGGCUAACUCCGUGCCAGCAGCCGCGGUAAUUC